rnacentral:rRNA from 1 species
UUUAUUGGAGAGUUUGAUCCUGGCUCAGGAUGAACGCUGGCGGCGUGCCUAAUACAUGCAAGUCGAGCGAAUGGAUUGAGAGCUUGCUCUCAAGAAGUUAGCGGCGGACGGGUGAGUAACACGUGGGUAACCUGCCCAUAAGACUGGGAUAACUCCGGGAAACCGGGGCUAAUACCGGAUAACAUUUUGAACUGC